rnacentral:rRNA from 1 species
CACGUAGGGUGCGAGCGUUGUCCGGAAUUAUUGGGCGUAAAGAGCUCGUAGGCGGUGUGUCGCGUCGGCCGUGAAAACCUGCAGCUUAACUGUGGGCUUGCGGUCGAUACGGGCAUCACUGGAGUUCGGCAGGGGAGACUGGAAUUCCUGGUGUAGCGGUGAAAUGCGUAGAUAUCUGGAGGAACACCGGUGGCGAAGGCGGCAUCCUGGACCGGCAUUGACGCUGAUGAGCGAAAGCCAGGGGAGCAAACGGG